CGGGGGGGCAAGCGUUGUUCGGAAUUACUGGGCGUAAAGGGCUCGUAGGCGGCCAACUAAGUCAGACGUGAAAUCCCCAGGCUCAACCUGGGAACUGCGUCUGAUACUGAUUGGCUUGAAUUCGGGAGAGGGAUGCAGAAUUCCAGGUGUAGCGGUGAAAUGCGUAGAUAUCUGGAGGAAUACCGGUGGCGAAGGCGGCAUCCUGGACCGACAUUGACGCUGAGGAGCGAAAGCUAGGGGAGCAAACGGGAUUAGAUACCCCGGUAGUCCUAGCCCUAAACGAUGAAUGCUUGGUGUGACGGGUAUCGAUCCCUGUCGUGCCGAAGCUAACGCAUUAAGCAUUCCGCCUGGGGAGUACGGUCGCAAGGCUG
rnacentral:rRNA from 1 species